rnacentral:misc_RNA from 1 species
GAUGAAGAACGCAGCGAAAUGCGAUAAGUAAUGUGAAUUGCAGAAUUCCGUGAAUCAUCGAAUCUUUGAACGCACAUUGCGCCCCCUGGCAUUCCGGGGGGCAUGCCUGUCCGAGCGUCAUUUCUGCCCUCAAGCACGGCUUGUGUGUUGGGUGUGGUCCCCCCGGGGACCUGCCCGAAAGGCAGCGGCGACGUCCGUCUGGUCCUCGAGCGUAUGGGGCUCUGUCACUCGCUCGGGAAGGACCUGCGGGGGUUGGUCACCACUAUAUUUUACCACGUUUGACCUCGGAUCAGGUAGGAGUUACCCGCUGAACUUAAGCAUAUCAAUAAGCGGAGGA